GGAAGCGUUUCGUCACCGGUGUGGCGUCCGGUCUUCAAAACCGGUGUAGGGCAGUGAUGUCCUAGGUAGGUUCGACUCCUAUACGCUUCCGCCA
rnacentral:tRNA from 1 species